UGUAACAAAUUUCUGUAGUUUUCACAGCAUUAUUACUGUAAAAUGAGCAAAUGCUUACUGUAGAACUUGUAUACAGCAUGUUGCUGUAGAUCUGCAAAGCAUCAUGGUCUUUUUUCAACGGCGGGUAAAUUCUACAGUAAAAAUAUUUUUCCUGUGAAUCACAAUACAGCAAUUUCUAAAGGAUUUUUUUCUUCAGCCAAGGAAAGCUACGAGAUUCCACACUUUCAUCUGAAUUUUUACUUCAGAAAGGUAAAUUUGCUAAUUUAAUUCCAAAGUUUACUCUUGUAAAGUCUGUUUGUUCAACUUUAAGAGUGCACUGAGAGAGAAUGAGCAGCACACUUCACCGUCUUGUGUGUGCAUUUUGUAAUUUUAUUACCACAAAUAUAUAAUUCUGCAUGAUUUCGAUAUAUUUUCUAGUUUGGCAACAUUUUAUAACGUCAUUAGUUUAGAGAAGGAUAAUAAUUUAAUAAUAAUAGUAAUUGGCCGUGUCUCAAUGCUUGUUUCAGAAUAUUAACAAUUAUAAAGUUGACUGUUAUUCUUAGUUAAUAGUAAAUUGUUUAAUAUGCUUAUGACUUGCGAAUCUAAUGGUCAGUUAACUUAAAUAAACCAGGGUUGAUGACGUAUGCGAGUGCGACCUCCGCAGGCUGAAACCAGUCUCUCGAGCUGAAAGAAAACGCAGCUGAGGAGAUAUGAGGAAACUUCCACCUACAGUAAGCAGAUGCUGAGGCCCAGAUUUCCAUGCUAAGCACUCCAAGGCUCAUCAUGCUCGGAGAGUCCAAUCUGAGGGCAAAAAAUGGAUGCUUUCCAUCGAGUGCUGAGUUCUCCUCCAAUUGAGUGACGGUUGUGAUUUCACUUCUGCUCUAGCCUUUUUGCGUCAUACUACGUAUGAGGCAGCCACUACAUUGGGAUUUAUCCAGAGGGUAGAGUCCAGCCCAGGAAGUCAACUAGUUCAUGUCCAGAUUUAAAAGAAUAAUAUUUCUGAAAAAAAGGUCUUGGAGAAAAACAAUAUUCAGGUUUGAAAUCCUGCUGUAAAUGUAAAUCAUUUAACUUUUAUGCAUUUGUAAUUUACCAGAAACUUUUUAAUAAAUAUUGAUUGUUUUGUGUGUUCAGAAAAAAAGUGUUUUUGUAUGUUCAGAAAAGUGUUGAAAUUAAAUGAAACAUUCACAGAAAAAUGUUAACAUAUUUAAAAAAUGUAUAUGUUCAGAAAAGUUUUGAGAUGUUCACAGAAAAAAUGUAACACAAAAAAUGUAUGCUAUGUUAUUUUUAAUUUAUGAAUUUUUGUAAUUUAAAGUGAUAAAAUAAAUGGCAUUUUUGUGACAAACAGUGUCUUCAUUUUACAGUACACAAAAUAAAUGCAGUAAUCCCUAUUACAGUAGUAGUUAUGAAAUACAGUACUGUGAUUAUUACUUUAAAAGAGUUUACAGUAAUUUUAAUUUUACUGCAAUUACAUUUACAGUAAGAAUACUGUGAAAUGAAAUACAGCAACUUACUAGCUAAUUGCUGCCAGCAAGUUGCUGU